rnacentral:rRNA from 1 species
CAGCAGCCGCGGGAAUACGUAGGUGGCAAGCGUUAUCCGGAAUUAUUGGGCGUAAAGCGCGCGUAGGCGGUUUCUUAAGUCUGAUGUGAAAGCCCACGGCUCAACCGUGGAGGGUCAUUGGAAACUGGGAAACUUGAGUGCAGAAGAGGAAAGUGGAAUUCCAUGUGUAGCGGUGAAAUGCGCAGAGAUAUGGAGGAACACCAGUGGCGAAGGCGACUUUCUGGUCUGUAACUGACGCUGAUGUGCGAAAGCGUGGGGAUCAAACAGGAUUAGAGACCCGCGUAGUCCCUGUCUCUUAUAC